UACAGGGGGGUCAAGCGUUGUUCGGAAUUACUGGGCGUAAAGGGCCAGUAGGCGGCCAACUAAGUCACACGUGAAAUCCCCAGGCUUAACCUGGGAACUGCGUGUGAUACUGGAUGGCUUGAAUUCGGGAGAGGGAUGCAGAAUUCCAGGUGUAGCGGUGAAAUGCGUAGAUAUCUGGAGGAAUACCGGUGGCGAAGGCGGCAUCCUGGACCGACAUUGACGCUGAACGGCGGAAGCUAGGGGAGCGAAUGGG
rnacentral:rRNA from 1 species